rnacentral:tRNA from 1 species
GGGCCGGUAGCUCAGGUGGUUAGAGCGCACGCCUGAUAAGCGUGAGGUCGGAGGUUCAACUCCUCCCCCGGCCC